rnacentral:rRNA from 1 species
CCUACGGGAGGCAGCAGUGGGGAAUAUUGCACAAUGGGGGAAACCCUGAUGCAGCGACGCCGCGUGAGUGAAGAAGUAUUUCGGUACGUAAAGCUCUAUCAGCAGGGAAGAAAAUGACGGUACCUGACUAAGAAGCCCCGGCUAACUACGUGCCAGCAGCCGCGGUAAUACGUAGGGGGCAAGCGUUAUCCGGAUUCACUGGGCGUAAAGGGAGUGUAGGCGGCUUAUCAAGUUAGAUGUGAAAUCCCGCGGCUUAACCGCGGAACUGCAUCUAAAACUGGUGAGCUGGAGUGCAGGAGAGGUGAGUGGAAUUCCUAGUGUAGCGGUGGAAUGCGUAGAUAUUAGGAGGAACACCAGAGGCGAAGGCGACUCACUGGACUGUAACUGACGCUGAGGCUCGAAAGCGUGGGGAGCAAACAGGAUUAGAUACCCCAGUAGUC